UUCUGACGCUGCUGACCCUCACCGGCCUCGCCGGCUACAACGCCAUCGCCUAUCUCGGGCUGCGAUACACCGAGGCGCUGAAUGCGCUGCUGAUCCAGUCGUCGGGGCCGUUGAUCGUUGCGCUCUGGUCGUUNNNNNNGCUCGGCAUCCGUCUCACCUGGCCGCAAACCAUCGGCAUCGGCAUUUCACUGCUUGGCGUC
rnacentral:misc_RNA from 1 species